AUGAAUGAUGACUUAAUACAUUCUUCACUUUGACCUGAUUGUCCAGUGAUGUUAAACUGCAGUCUGACG
ensembl:snoRNA